AGUGAACGCUGGCGGUAGGCCUAACACAUGCCAGUCGAACGGCAGCACAGUAAGAGCUUGCUCUUACGGGUGGCGAGUGGCGGACGGGUGAGGAAUACAUCGGAAUCUACUUUUUCGUGGGGGAUAACGUAGGGAAACUUACGCUAAUACCGCAUACGACCUACGGGUGAAAGCAGGGGAUCUUCGGACCUUGCGCGAUUGAAUGAGCCGAUGUCGGAUUAGCUAGUUGGCGGGGUAAAGGCCCACCAAGGCGACGAUCCGUAGCUGGUCUGAGAGGAUGAUCAGCCACACUGGAACUAAGACACGGUCCAGACUCCUACGGGAGGCAGCAGUGGGGAAUAUUGGACAAUGGGCGCAAGCCUGAUCCAGCCAUACCGCGUGGGUGAAGAAGGCCUUCGGGUUGUAAAGCCCUUUUGUUGGGAAAGAAAAGCAGCAGGUUAAUACCCCGCUGUUCUGACGGUACCCAAAGAAUAAGCACCGGCUAACUUCGUG
rnacentral:rRNA from 1 species